rnacentral:rRNA from 1 species
CACGUAGGCACCAAGCGUUGUCCGGAUUUAUUGGGCGUAAAGAGCUUGUAGGCGGUUCGGUUAGUCGGGUGUGAAACCUCUGGGCUCAACUCAGAGACGCCACCCGAUACUGCUGUGACUAGAGUGCGGUAGGGGAGCGGGGAAUUCCUGGUGUAGCGGUGAAAUGACGCAGACUAUCAGGAGGAACACCGAUGGCGAAGGCAGAUCUCUGGGCCGUAACUGACGCUGGAGGAGCGAAAGCAUGGGGAGUGAACAGG